rfam:Schistosoma margrebowiei strain Zambia genome assembly, scaffold: SMRZ_scaffold0002551
GGCUUUCCGAAUCCGUGCUGAGAUUUCGUUAGGCAUCAGACCAUCAGGACUGAUGAGACUUCCAAGACAAAUGAAGUG